GCCCUCUUAGGGUCUCAUCUGGAGAGUUUCCAGUACCCUACCAGCCUCGGCUAUGGGAGGAAGAGUCGAGCAGAGGCCAACUCAUUCCAUUCCUAGCUUGGGCAGUGGCCAGGGAGUGGAAGGCAAUCUGCUACAAGU